rnacentral:rRNA from 1 species
UACGGAGGGUGCGAGCGUUGUCCGGAAUCAUUGGGCGUAAAGGGCGCGUAGGCGGCCUGGUAAGUAGGAGGUGAAAUCCUGCGGCUUAACCGCAGGGCUGCCUUCUAAACUGUCAGGCUGGAGCACAGUAGAGGCAGGUGGAAUUCCCGGUGUAGCGGUGGAAUGCGUAGAGAUCGGGAAGAACAUCGGUGGCGAAGGCGGCCUGCUGGGCUGUUGCUGACGCUGAGGCGCGACAGCGUGGGGAGCAAACAGG